AUUGAACGCUGGCGGCAGGCCUAACACAUGCAAGUCGAGCGGAUGAAGGGAGCUUGCUCCUGGAUUCAGCGGCGGACGGGUGAGUAAUGCCUAGGAAUCUGCCUGGUAGUGGGGGAUAACGUCCGGAAACGGGCGCUAAUACCGCAUACGUCCUGAGGGAGAAAGUGGGGGAUCUUCGGACCUCACGCUAUCAGAUGAGCCUAGGUCGGAUUAGCUAGUUGGUGGGGUAAAGGCCUACCAAGGCGACGAUCCGUAACUGGUCUGAGAGGAUGAUCAGUCACACUGGAACUGAGACACGGUCCAGACUCCUACGGGAGGCAGCAGUGGGGAAUAUUGGACAAUGGGCGAAAGCCUGAUCCAGCCAUGCCGCGUGUGUGAAGAAGGUCUUCGGAUUGUAAAGCACUUUAAGUUGGGAGGAGGGGCAGUAAGUUAAUACCUUGCUGUUUUGACGUUACCAACCGAAUAAGCACCGGCUAACUUCGUG
rnacentral:rRNA from 1 species